UACGAAGGGGGCUAGCGUUGUUCGGAUUUACUGGGCGUAAAGCGCACGUAGGCGGAUCGAUCAGUCAGGGGUGAAAUCCUGGAGCUCAACUCCAGAACUGCCUUUGAUACUGGGGAUCUCGAGUCCGGAAGAGGUGAGUGGAACUCCGAGUGUAGAGGUGAAAUUCGUAGAUAUUCGGAAGAACACCAGUGGCGAAGGCGGCUCACUGGUCCGGUACUGACGCUGAGGUGCGAAAGCGUGGGGAGCGAAGAGG
rnacentral:rRNA from 1 species